rnacentral:misc_RNA from 1 species
CACAAAAUCUUUCUCUGUUACAUUCUUCCCAUCAUGGUUGAUGAGAUUAAAUGGCCCCCCAAUGGCUGCUUUUCCCACAGAUGGUCCCUCUUUUGCAGCCUCAGAAGCUUUAUUUAUUUCUUCAAUAUGCCGCUUCUUCUCCCUAUCGUAGUAUAAGAUUAUUCCAACUCCAGUGGCCAUCAGCAACAGAAAACUCAACCACGAUACAGGCCCUCCGCGUACAGGUUUUCCAGCAUCACUGUCCUGCUGCGAAUCGCCUGACUUCUCACCUCCAUCCGAUUUAGUGUCUUCAGCUUUUCCUGAAGUUUCUGAGCUAACAGUACCAGUACUUGCA